CCUACGGGAGGCAGCAGUGAGGAAUAUUGGUCAAUGGCCGCAGGGCUGAACCAGCCAAGUCGCGUGAGGGAUGACGGUCCUAUGGAUUGUAAACCUCUUUUGUCAGGGAGCAAAGGGUGCCACGUGUGGCGUUUUGCGAGUACCUGAAGAAACAGCAUCGGCUAACUCCGUGCCAGCAGCCGCGGUAAUACGGAGGAUGCGAGCGUUAUCCGGAUUUAUUGGGUUAAAAGGGUGCGUAGGCGGACGCUUAAGUCAGCGGUAAAAUUGCGGGGCUCAACCUCGUCGAGCCGUUGAAACUGGGUGCCUUGAGUGGGCGAGAAGUACGCGGAAUGCGUGGUGUAGCGGUGAAAUGCAUAGAUAUCACGCAGAACUCCGAUUGCGAAGGCAGCAUACCGGCGCUCAACUGACGCUGAGGCACGAAAGCGUGGGGAUCGAACAGGAUUAGAUACCCCAGUAGUC
rnacentral:rRNA from 1 species